GAUGAACGCUAGCGGCAGGCUUAAUACAUGCAAGUCGAGGGGCAGCGGGACCAGCAAUGGUUGCCGGCGACCGGCGCACGGGUGCGUAACACGUAUACAACCUACCUUAAACAGGGGGAUAGCCUUUCGAAAGAGAGAUUAAUACCCCGUAAUAAAUUGAGUGGCAUCACUUAAUUUUGAAAGUUCCGACGGUUUGAGAUGGGUAUGCGUAUGAUUAGCUAGUUGGUGGUGUAACGGACCACCAAGGCGACGAUCAUUAGGGGAUCUGAGAGGACGAACCCCCACACUGGUACAGAGACACAGACCGGACGCCUACGGGAGGCAGCAGUAAGGAAUAUUAGUCAAUGGAGGCAACUCUGAACCAGCCAUGCCGCGUGCAGGAUGACGGCCCUAUGGGUUGUAAACUGCUUUUGUACCAGAGAAAACCCGAGUACGUGUACUCGGUUGAUAGUAUGGUAAGAAUAAGCAUCGGCUAACUUCGUGCCAGCCGCCGCGGUAACAC
rnacentral:rRNA from 1 species